GACGAAUGCUGGCGGCGUGCCUAACACAUGCAAGUCGAACGGGGUUACGAGAGCUUGCUCUUGUAACUUAGUGGCGAACGGGUGAGUAACGCGUGAGAAACCUGCCUUUCAGUGGGGGACAACAGUUGGAAACGACUGCUAAUACCGCAUAACGUAUUUUGGGGGCAUCGCUUGAUAACCAAAGCUUUAUGUGCUGAAAGAUGGUCUCGCGUCUGAUUAGCUAGUUGGUGGGGUAACGGCCUACCAAGGCAACGAUCAGUAGCCGGACUGAGAGGUUGAUCGGCCACAUUGGGACUGGGACACGGCCCAGACUCCUACGGGAGGCAGCAGUGGGGAAUAUUGCACAAUGGGGAAAACCCUGAUGCAGCGACGCCGCGUGAGGGAAGAAGGUAUUCGUAUUGUAAACCUCUGUCUUCGGGGACGAUAAUGACGGUACCCGAGGAGGAAGCACCGGCUAACUACGUG
rnacentral:rRNA from 1 species